UCAUCGAUGAUCUUUUUAACUUCUGCUAUCCUAUCGGAAGAUCCACUGACAAAUAAGCUCUAGCAAUCAAAAUCAUGUGCCAACAAUUUGAGGAGAAAAAUAAAAGAUCCAUCUAAAAAGGAAAAGGAGGGUAGAGGGGGUGGGAGGGAGGAGUAGGAAAUGACGAUAGCUUUGGCUAAUUGGAACUUCUCAUCUUACAUGGAUCCUAAAGCCCCCGUUGAACCACCAAGAGAAACCCAAGAGGUGGCUAAGUUGAGCCUUGAAAGGUACUCCAUAUAAUGCCCCUCGGUCGGAGGGAUUAUGAAAAGGUGCCUCUCUUCCUCUUUCUAUGUUUCUCGACUCUUAAUUGUGAGUACUCUUUGAUCUCUUCUUGUGGGGGGUUAUUUUCUGUUUCUCUUGGUCUUUUUGUUUAAGUGUAAGGUUUCUCUCUGUUUUUAUAGAGACAUCAGUGAACUUUUAUUUAUAUAUUGGUUUUACCUUGAAUAGUGUGUUCAUGGAUGCUCUUGUUUCAGUUUUGUUUGACUAAGAACUUUAGAUUCGUAAGAUCGUGAUAGAGUCUCCACGUGCUAGAGUGCUACAAUUAACAGAGCAGCCAGUUGAAUUUCAAAGAAAAUGCAGUUUAUAUCCUCAGGGAGCUCGUGCUCUUACUACAAGAGGAACUACCAUCUCCUACUUGUUAGUUUUAUGUCAUAUCAUGCUUCAAUUUAUUAACAGACUUUUACACUAUUUAACAUUUGAUGUAAACUCUACUUCUUCCUUCUCAAACAUGUUUCAUUCUUACAAGAACGCCUUCAUUUAAUAUUUUUUUAACUAGACAAAUAUGUCAAGACUUUUCUGUAUUGAUAGCUACCGAUCUGAACAUCCUCCAGCUGGUCCAAACAUCAAAAUGUAUAAGAUAGAUACCUUAGUUAAGGUUGAAUAUAUAAGUUCUACAUACUAUUUUCAGACUAGGACAAGGCAGAGUGUUUGACUUGGUGGUAAGGAUACAACAUGUGGAUUUUUAUUGUUAGUUUUUUUGUUCUUGGCUUGGCUUGUUGGUAUUUCAUUUAUUUACCAAUUUGAAUAAUAGUUAAAAAUCUUGGAACAAUGAUUUUUAUGUGCCCACUUGAUUGACUUGAUAUCUUGUGGUUGUUUGCUGUGUUACUGAGUGAACAAUGAAAUUCAUUAUCUCUGAUUGCUGUGAGAGGACAUGAAAAUGUUUUAUUUUAUGUUAUAGUUGAGUGUCAAGCUUAGGGAGGCUUAAACCAUUCCAUGACAACAUCUAUUGGGAAGGUAAUGUAUUUUCAUAUAGCUUUGCCUUCUAUAGUGCUGAGCUCAUACUUAUACAUGUGGAGCUUACCUCUUGGAGGCAAACCAACAUGCAUUUUGUUUUUUUUUUCCACUUUCUAUUGGCUUCAUAAAUUCAGAAUUUGAAUUAUAUCUUAGUCUUUCUUUUUUUUCCAGAAAGCUAUAAAUCUAUUGAUUUAGGAUUUUGAUGUAGCAGUAUUUGGGACUAAUUCUUUUAUACAGGUUAGUGCGGCAUUACCACCAAGUGAUGCAUCCAUGGAUGUGGUCAUUGGAACUCUUAUAAAUGUUAAUUUGACACUAGAAGGUACUCUCACCCCUGGUGUGUGUAAAGUUUCUGAAGUCUGAUGGUUAUGAUAAACUUAAAGUGUUUUCAUCAUACCAUGAAGAAUACUAUUGAUUUCGAUGACAUUGUAAGUUGGAGCUAUGACAACUAACUAUAAUCACUGCAUUUUUAUGGUAAAGAGAACCUAAACUUCUUCUCUUUGUUGGAUUGAUUCACUUCCACACCUCAAGCAUCGUAGUUGCAGCCUAGCUCAAAGAUCCCCAAUCCUGAAUGGAAGAAAACCAAUCAGAUCCAACUUGUGGAUGGGACACAUAUAUUUGAGCUGGUGGGUACUGAAAAAAUGUGUUUUUUUCUAUAUUUUGGGAUGUUUCUUGGCAUUGAUUUGUUGUUCUAAUGGGGUUUCCUAGGCUGCAUUUGUGUUUCAGAUAAUUAUUUUAGGGAAUUGAUCUUAUUAUUUUUUGUUUAGAUAUGAUGAGUUUAGGAAAUCUCUUGUCUGAUAUGCUAGGAAAUGUUUUCUCA